rnacentral:lncRNA from 1 species
UAAUAUAUAAAAAUUUAUAUUUAUAUUUUGAAAUUCAGAUCUGAGUAUGAUAUUUUUUUUUGAAAUUUGGUAAGGAGAAAUGAUUGCUUUCCGGUUUGAAUUUUUGGGUUCGAUUUCAGCUUUCGAGUUUUCUCUUUUUUCAGUUCGAUUUUGGUAAUGAAUUUUAAAAUUCCAAUAGGUUCAGGUGUGAUGUCUAAUUUCACUAUUU